GACGAACGCUGGCUGCGUGCUUAACACAUGCAAGUCGAACGGAAAGGCUCCAGCUUGCUGGAGUACUCGAGUGGCGAACGGGUGAGUAACACGUGGGUAAUCUGCCCUGCACUCUGGGAUAAGCCUGGGAAACUGGGUCUAAUACUGGAUAUGACCUUUCUCCUUAUGGGGUUUGGUGGAAAGUUUUUCGGUGUAGGAUGAGCCCGCGGCCUAUCAGCUUGUUGGUGGGGUGAUGGCCUACCAAGGCGACGACGGGUAGCCGGCCUGAGAGGGUGAUCGGCCACAUUGGGACUGAGAUACGGCCCAGACUCCUACGGGAGGCAGCAGUGGGGAAUAUUGCACAAUGGGCGGAAGCCUGAUGCAGCGACGCCGCGUGAGGGAUGACGGCCUUCGGGUUGUAAACCUCUUUCAGCAGGGACGAAGCGUAAGUGACGGUACCUGCAGAAGAAGCACCGGCUAACUAUGUG
rnacentral:rRNA from 1 species